rnacentral:rRNA from 1 species
GCUGUUAAGAUAGCCAAGGCACGUCUAAGUACAAACUAAAUGAUGGUGAAACUGCAAAUGGGCUCAUUACAACGGUUAUGAUGUACCCGGGAGUUCCGAUGGAUAUUUCCAGUAACACUAGAACUAAUACAUGUCCCUGCGUUUAUUAGUUUCGCACAGUCCGUCGCUGAGUCAUGGUAAACAGUUGAUCGACUCGACGUCCCGGAACAGUUUCCGCCCCAUCAGCUUCGAUGGUUGGGUAUUGGCCUACCAUUGCAACAACGGGUAACGAGGAAUUAGGGUUUGAUUUCGGAGAGGGAGCCUGAGAAACGGCUACCACAUCUACGGAUGGCAGCAGGCGCGCAAAUUACCCAAUGCAGACACUGUGAGGUAGUGACGAGAAAUAAUAAAGCGGGACUUCUGUUUCGCUAUUAUAAUGAGGAAUAACAAAGGUCAUUUCCGAUUAGCAACUGAUGGGAAAGUCCUGGGUGCAGCAGCCGGCGGUAAUACCAGCCGUCAGU